rnacentral:rRNA from 1 species
UACAGAGGUCUCAAGCGUUGUUCGGAUUUACUGGGCGUAAAGGGCGCGUAGGCGGCUUGUCAAGUCACUUGUGAAAUCUCUGGGCUUAACCCAGAACGGCCAAGUGAAACUGUCAUGCUAGAGUGCAGAAGGGGCAAUCGGAAUUCUUGGUGUAGCGGUGAAAUGCGUAGAUAUCUGGAGGAACACCGGUGGCGAAGGCGACAUCCUGGACCGGCAUUGACGCUGAGGCGCGAAGGCUAGGGGAGCAAAAGGG